rnacentral:rRNA from 1 species
CACGUAGGGCGCAAGCGUUGUCCGGAAUUAUUGGGCGUAAAGAGCUCGUAGGCGGCUUGUCACGUCGGAUGUGAAAGCCCGAGGCUUAACCUCGGGUCUGCAUUCGAUACGGGCUAGCUAGAGUGUGGUAGGGGAGAUCGGAAUUCCUGGUGUAGCGGUGAAAUGCGCAGAUAUCAGGAGGAACACCGGUGGCGAAGGCGGAUCUCUGGGCCAUUACUGACGCUGAGGAGCGAAAGCGUGGGGAGCGAACAGG